GAGUAACCUGCCCUUAACUCUGGGAUAAGCCUGGGAAACUGGGUCUAAUACCGGAUAUGACUCCUCAUCGCAUGGUGGGGGGUGGAAAGCUUUUUGUGGUUUUGGAUGGACUCGCGGCCUAUCAGCUUGUUGGUGAGGUAAUGGCUCACCAAGGCGACGACGGGUAGCCGGCCUGAGAGGGUGACCGGCCACACUGGGACUGAGACACGGCCCAGACUCCUACGGGAGGCAGCAGUGGGGAAUAUUGCACAAUGGGCGCAAGCCUGAUGCAGCGACGCCGCGUGAGGGAUGACGGCCUUCGGGUUGUAAACCUCUUUCAGUAGGGAAGAAGCGAAAGUGACGGUACCUGCAGAAGAAGCGCCGGCUAACUACGUGCCAGCAGCCGCGGUAAUACGUAGGGCGCAAGCGUUAUCCGGAAUUAUUGGGCGUAAAGAGCUCGUAGGCGGUUUGUCGCGUCUGCCGUGAAAGUCCGGGGCUCAACUCCGGAUCUGCGGUGGGUACGGGCAGACUAGAGUGAUGUAGGGGAGACUGGAAUUCCUGGUGUAGCGGUGAAAUGCGCAGAUAUCAGGAGGAACACCGAUGGCGAAGGCAGGUCUCUGGGCAUU
rnacentral:rRNA from 1 species